UACGGAGGGGGCGAGCGUUAUUCGGAAUUAUUGGGCGUAAAGGGCGCGUAGGCGGGCCAGCCAGUCUGUGGUGAAAGCCUCCAGCUUAACUGGAGAAGUGCCGUGGAUACUGCUGGCCUCGAGGAGGAUAGGGGCAUCUGGAACGGUCGGUGGAGCGGUGAAAUGCGUUGAUAUCGACCGGAACUCCGGUGGCGAAGGCGAGGUGCUGGGUCCUUUCUGACGCUGAUGCGCGAAAGCCAGGGGAGCAAACGGG
rnacentral:rRNA from 1 species